ensembl:lncRNA
CCUGGUCUGAAACUGUUCAUCUCAAUGCUUGACUAGAAGGUCUCAGGCUCAGGCCUGUUUGUCAUUGUCUGUGUGUCUUAUACUCUGAGACAGCAAUGGUGCAUGUAUUUCUCCUGUUUCUCACAGUGCUCUCUGUUUCCAUAUUUGUCUUUCUCUUUCUCUGACUCUUUACAAUUCUCUAUAUUGUGGGUGUGUCUCAGUUUGUGAGUCUGUGUGUGCAAAUGUCCAAAUACAUAUGGACAACUUUUAUAUGUUUAUAUUUCCCUCCACAAUUGGAAUCUAGUGGUCUAUGUCUUGGGCUGAGUAUUUACCUGUAACACUUUCAUGGUGAUGUGAAUGCUUUGUUCUGGGAUCCCCACUGUCAACAGCACAGUUCUUUGCCUAUGUGAGCACGUUUGCCUGUAUAUUUGUAUUCGUUGUGCAGAUUAUAAUUUUGUGUUGAUAUAUGGUCUUUUAUCAAAACAGGAUAAAAGAAAUCACAGAUUUCUGGGUGUGUUGGGGUGGGGGAGCAUGGAGAGGUGUGGCCAAGGCUCUUGAUAGCUUAACUGGCUUGACUGCAGAUUUCUUCUUGACUGAACAAAGGGAGCCAGGGAGCCCUCCAUCUGGAUGCUGAGAUUCUGGUGUCCUGGACUCAGAAAAACACGUUUCUGAAGCUGAAGAAGAUCCCAAUAUGCAGAAUUCAGAAGGUGUCCUUCCAGGACUGGGGUAGUACAGGACCCACCCUGAGUUCAUAUAUACCUAAAUUCUGAUGUUCAUUGUAUUCUAUCAUUUGGGGCCAGGCCCUACUUCAGGCCAAAUCCUUAUUAUGAAGACCUGGAGAGAAUGGAGGAGGCGGUCAUGUCAAUUCUGCACAACUUAGAGAUGGAGAACACUGAGAUCCAUGAGAACAGCCAUAAGCUGAAGAAGGAGAUGACCUUCUCUAGCUAAGUCCUGAAACCUGCUCAGCCAGCUCCUGAUGGAGAACACAUGCAGGAAGAAGUUGGUCCCACUGAAACAGGAGAGCAAGGA